UAAUAAUAAUAAUAAUAAUAAUAAUAAUAAUAAUAAUAAUAAUAAUAAUAAUAAUAAUAAUAAUAAGAAUAUGCUUUUUCAUUUUCGGAUAGAUUUGCAUCACUUUUCGGAUAGAUUUGCAUCGUUCGGAUAGACUUGCAUCGGUACCGGAUAGAUUUGCAUCGCUAUCGGAUAGAUUUGCAUCGCUAUCGGAUAGAUUUGCAUCGCUAUCGGAUAGAUUUGCAUCAUUUCCGGCUGCCGUGUAAUUUUUCACAUUUCUAAAAUGGCACCUUGAGUCGUACGACGAGCAAGAGCAGCUAUAUAAACUGCUACUGCUUAUUUAUUUUGGCAAGUAGUACACGAAGGUCAUUAGUUGAUGUGGACUUUUAUAUUAAUAAGCUAAGCCAUACAUAUAUUUGUUUCUGUUCACUGUCAAGUCUUUUCACCUAGCUAGCUAGAGCUAGCUCAUAUAUAUUUCUUUAAUCUCGUGGCUACCCACAAGUUUCUUUAUCUCGUUGGUAAAUGGAAGCAAUUUAUAUUUAUGUUAUGUUAUCCAGCUAGCUGAGCUGUGCCUCUGGCUUUCAGCUCUAGCUGCUGGAUGAGUUUUGCUAGGAAUUGGAAGUGGGUAGGCUGAAUGCUUUAAGAAAUAUAUAGCUAGCUAGCUAGCAAUAUGGCUAGUAAAUGAUACUUCAAUACUAACUAGAGCUAGCUAUAGAGUUAUUCUGUGGCAAUAUAAUGAUGACUGAAACAUUGUUAUCUGUGUAUAGAUUACUUUAAGCCUGCAUACAUUUUGUUGAGCAUACAAUUUUUCAUAAAAUGUGCUUAUAAUCAGUGUAACUAUAGACUUAUUCUUUUAUGUUACCAGUAGAAACCAUCAUAAGUGGGUCAUGUGUACACAAGUUACAGUACCGCUUAAAUGUAUUCUUACGUGUACGCAAAGUUUACAACCUUGCAUAACAACCUCAAAUCUACAUAAUAGAACUUCACAUAGAACCUUCACAUAUCUUUUGUUUACAUACCAACUUAAGGAUACUGUGAGGGUAUAAAUAUAAUUUUUUUACAAAAAAUUUUAUGUGUGAAUCUCACUUUGAACAUUCUACAAGUUCUAGCAAUCACGGUGUGGAUAUUAUCUAAACAAGCUAAAUUAUUCAGCAUACUUUUUAAACUUUUUUCGUAGAUUUAAUGUCGCAAGAAAACCUUUUCCUUGAUCAGUUUUCUUCUAGCGUGUUCUAGAGUCAUUUUUUUUUAUUCUGUUUAAUUUUAAUUUGUUUUGAAAGUUUGUUUGUUUUUUUAUACCAACCGACAUUCAGCACAACAGAUUUUUCUUUAACAGGGUAUAUAAAUAUAUAUAUAUAUAUCUAUUGUAGCAAAGGUCAGGUUGCAAAAAACUCUUUUACGAGGAAUUUUAGAUGUUUGUUUUUCACGAUGUAUACAUGACGUAAAAUGUCAAAACUCCCCUCCACUUUGCACACGAGCUCAUCGAUUCCUGCUGCAAAUGACUGUCACAUUUUAUGUAUAUUUUGAUUAUUUAAAGAAAAAGUGAGGUUAAAACACAAAAGAGCGAGCAAAAUUUCAUUUUUUAACAUUUUUAAAACAGAAAAAAAAAAAAAAAGGCGCGCUUUUUCGAAAAAAUGUGACAAAGUAUUGUUGCUAUGGUAAUGCUAUAGUGAUUGAUUAAUAUGACACAGAAAAAAAAUAAAACGGACAGGGAAAAAAUUCAAAUUUUAUAUUUAUAUAUCCUAUAGACAAUUUAAUUUGCUUUUAUAUUCAAUAAAUAACUUUGAAGAAAAAGAUAAUUUUUGAGAAAUAAUGAAUAUACUGAAUAUGUGUCUAUACCCUUAUAGUAUCCUUAAUUGUUUUCUAUUGUUAUCAUCAUGCGUAAACCGUAACAAUAAGACAUGAUGAAGCCUUUUGUUCUUGUAACAUUUAAGCUAAAAAGCGCUAACGAUCACGAAAGCUAUUGAAAUUUAUGUUUUUUAAAAUAAACGGACAAUAAUUUUUUACCAUGAUUUAGUUUCAAUUGCUAUAUUUUAUAUAUAUAUAACACAAUACAGCGAUCUUAAGCUAUACUUUCUUUGUGUACCGAAAGAUUACGGCACAUUUCUAUUUUUCUAUUUCUUGGUUGUAAAAGCCAAUAAAGUCUAAAAAGGUAUGUUUUUUUGUGUAUAAUUAUCUGGAGUAAUAUUAAUCCACUGUUAAUUUUUGUUUUUGGCGGGUAACUAUUAUUUCACAGAGCAGAGACUGCUUUGGUAAUCUAGGCUUCUAAAGGAAAGCUGAUAAAAUUGAAAGAAAAAAAGCAGUACUUUUGUAAAUGGAAGACUUCUCCGAAAUAUUGUGACGUUUAUAUAUUUACCAUGAAACACUUUAUAGUGACCUCAGCCUGUUAUAAUCUUAUUAUUAUCUUAUAUAUUAAUUCCCUUGCGUGACUAAAACUGUGAGUCCACGACACGGAAAUCACGGGUUACUUUCUUAUGACGUGGCUGUACGCUAAAAUUUAACUAAAAAGAUUAGGGAUGUACUUUAUAGAAAUCGCACAUAAGCUGUAAAUAUAUAACCCGCUGCUAAUAACGAUAUAAAUAUAUAUACCCUUAUGCCAAAAAACUCUAUGUUAGCAUAUAUAUAUAGGUAUCGCUACAUAUGAAACGGUAUUAGAUAUUCACAAAGCAUACGGACUGUUAAAUGAAGUUCCUAGCAUAAAACGGAAAUUGUGUUUACGAAAAAGAUGGCUGUUCUUUUUGAGGAUUCUCUACUCUUUCAUUCAAAAUAAAUCUUUAAAAAAACAUUUGAAGAAGAGCAUGGUUUUAUAAAUUAAUCAUAGCAAGGUUCUGUAAGGUUUUUUCAUGUUUUAUUUUCAGUUUUGAUUAUAUUAUUGUUGCCAGACAUGUUUUAUAGCUAGCAUCAUAAAAAGCCAACCACCACCAACAACUAGCUAGCUAGCUAGGAAUAUAUAUAUAUAUGUGUAGCCAUGUUCUUUAUACCUAGCUAAGUCUCCAGUUUAUAUUUAAGUGACUAGCUAUUAGCUGCUGUAGCUAGCUAAUGCUAGCUUUAAACUAAAGAUUCCCAGUAUAUAUAUUCCCACAAAACACAUCAAACGUUAUUAACCCUGAAAAUUUUAAACAUUUUCCUGGGUUUUUUUUCGUUUGCGAAGUUCUUUUCCUCCAAAUAUUCUGAAAAUAAAGUUCAGAAAUUACUUAUUUUUAAAAUGUAAAUUUAAUUUGUUUCAAAUUGUGGGCAAAAACCUUAAUCAGCAUGCUAAAAGAACUGACUUUUCUUAAUUUAGAAUUACUAAACACAACCAUUUUCUUACAAUCAGUGUAAACUGUUGUGCGUAUGGCUUAUAUUUAAUACACCAAAAGAGCUACUUUGUUGAUUUCAAUUUUAUACUCUUUGUAAGCUAUUUUGUUCUUCUUUUUGACAUUUCUGUUUUACCACUCAAUUUUUACAUUUUAUAAGUUAUUUGGAACAGAAUGGUAUGAAAUAGACCAAAAUACCUGAUCUUAGUUGUUUUUAAUUUACAGGCUGUGUCUGUGAAACUUUAAGGGGAACAUUUGGUGGAAGACAAUGGCAUGACAUAUACUGAUAGAACUGAUUUUUGUUGUGUUAGAUGUUAUAUAUAUCUGAACCUUUUUGACAUUUUAUGUUAAUUUUGCGAGGAAGGACCAUAUAUAUAUACACAGAAGAAGAAUUCAAUUUUACACCUUGCAAGCUUUGUUUUUCUAAAUUUUGUAUAAAUUCUUACUGGGGAGGACUCCGUGCAAUAUAUCGAAAUGACUGAUCCUUCUCGAUUUAAAUUUGAUGUGUUCUAAAUCGUAUAUAGUUUUGGAAAUUUUGUGUAAGAUUUAAUGGGUAAGGGCUAGAUGCAAUAUGUCAAAAAAACUUUUUUUGUUGAAUCAGAAGCACUCCCUACAACCAUUCUUUUUUUUACAGUUUGUGAAGCUUUUGUGAGGAAAGAGUGUAUGCAAUAUUAUCGAAAUAACUGAUUUUUGUUGCAAACUGUUUUUCUUUGGCAUUUUGGAUUAAAAUAUUGUUUUAGAGGGCAUAUGCAGUAGAUAUAUGUACUGAAAUAGUUAAAUUUUGCAAACUUUGAUUUUGUCGUUACCUCUCAUUUUUUACAUUUUGAUUAAACUUUUGUGGGAGACCGUCGGUAUGCAAAGGACCAAAAUAAGAGAUUUUAGUAUUAUUUAGAAUUUGUAUUUUGUGUUGCAAAAUUGGUGCAAAAAUUGACAUAAAAUGAACUUAUAUACAGAUUGAUUGCUGUUGUUUAACAUGACUCAUUAUGACUUAUAUAUAUAUUUUAUGAAAAUUUGUGACAGAAUACUAUGUGAGAUUUGAAAUUUUGUUUACUUUAUUGAUGGUAAAACAGCAUGCAAAUUGCUAAAAGGACUUUAUUAAUUUUAGGUUUAAACACCGUUAUUUUGUUGGCAUUUUGUCUAAAGUUUGGUGAGGAGGGACUGUAUGCAAUAUAUCAAAUAAUGUUUUAUUGCAUUAUAAUUUGUCCUUGCAAAUCCCUUUUUUUACACCUUAGAUAAAAAAUUCUGUCAGAGGCACAAUUUAUUGUUUAUUUUUCACAUUGUGUGUCAACCUUUGGCAGGGUUUGCAAUAAACUAACUGAUUUUAACAUAUACAAUGAGAGAGAUUUGUGUUUGACAUUGAUCAGCUUUUUUGUAUAUAUGUGGCGUUUUAAGUGAUUUAAAUUUUAUGGGUGAGAUGUAUGUUGAAAUGCUUUUGGAAACUUCUUUCCGAAUAAUUUUCGCAUUUGUCAGAUGGUCAGAGCAAGUAAUUUUAGUAGAUUUAGAUUUUAAAUGUCACAUAAAUACUGCAGUUGUUGAAAACCUUUAAUUUUUUUGGUCAUUUAUAUAAUAAUGCAGAUGUAAGAUGCGCACUGCUGUAUUGUUUGUUUUUUGAUGGACAUUUAUCUGCUACAUAAAUUAAAUGGAAUACAGUGGAUUCUUCCACGGGAAACAGCUAGUUUUGGAUUAAUCCAAUUAAUUAUACGAUAUACUGAGUCAAUUGUGAUAUUAUUAUUCUUUUAGAUUAAUAGGAUAGAAUUGCAUCACUCAGUAUUUGUUCUUCUAGAUGUGUGAUACGAUAUACUGAGCGAGUUUUGAUCUUGUUAAUAUUUUGGAUUGAUAGGAUAGAAUUGCAUCACUCAGUAUUUGUUCAGAUAGAUAUGUGACACCAAAUACUGAGUGAGUUGUGAUCUUAUUAUUAUUAUGGAUUGAAAGGAUAGAAUUGCAUCACUCAGUAUUUGUUCUUAUAGAUGUGUGAUACCAAAUACUGAGUAAGUUGUGAUCUUAUUAUUAUUAUGGAUUGAUAGGAUAGAAUUGCAUCACUCAGUAUUUGUUCAUUUAGAUGUGUGACACCAAAUACUGAGUGAGUUGUGAUCUUAUUAUUAUUAUGGAUUGAUAAGAUAGAAUUGCAUCACUCAGUAUUUGUUCAUAUAGAUAUGUGACACCAAAUACUGAGUGAGUUGUGAUCUUAUUAUUAUUAUGGAUUGAUAGGAUAGAAUUGCAUCACUCAGUAUUUGUUCUUAUAGAUGUGUGAUACCAAAUACUGAGUGAGUUGUGAUCUUAUUAUUAUUAUGGAUUGAUAGGAUAGAAUUGCAUUACUCAGUAUUUGUUCAUUUAGAUGUGUGACACAAAAUACUGAGUGAGUUGUGAUCUUAUUAUUAUUUUGCUUAUUGAAAUUUCUGUUUUUGUCAAACGAAUUUUUUCUGGAGAAAGGACAGAGAACUUCUGGAAGCUCCUUUAAUUUAUUUUUUUGGAAAUAAGUGGCCACUCUGGAGUAACUUAAAUACGAGAAGAUCAAAUAAAAUGUAAAUUAUUAAAUUGUACCCUCCAAAUGUUUUAACCGUUCAUAUGGAAAUUGGUAGAACCGUUGGAAAUUGUUAAAAAUAUGUCGCCAUUGUUACGUCAGCGUGCAGCAAGAUUAAUUAUACUUGAAAAGAAUGGCGUCAAAUACUGUUUUCAAUAAACGAAGAAAGUGUCCAAAUUGUUACAUAUUUUUUUCCAUAAAAGCCUUCUUGCUUGUCAACUACCGUGUCCGACCAACAAUACGUACGAAAACUCAUUUGCAAUCCUAUUUUUAUGCAGCUACUUGUAUUAUAGGACGACAGAUUUAUGUAAAUUGACAGGUAGACCUAAUUGCAACGCACGACAUGGUCUACAGACGGUAUCCUACAUUGGGGCAAAUUUGUGUGAUGUGCUUCCGGUAUAAAGGAAGCUGAAAGUCUGAACUCAUUUUCUUCACAGCCUGAAGUCUUAUUAUUUUUAUUAGAUCUAUUUAUUUUUAUAUCGUCAUUUUAGCCAAGUGUAGUCGUACACUUCUAUCAAAUCCUAUACAUGACUUCAUACAAGAGGUGACAUUUCCAUUUGUAUCCUUUUAAUUGACGUUAAAUAAAUUUAUGUCUGUUUACUCUGUUAUACCUGGGAUUCUGUGACACAACUCGGUUGGCACAAUUUGCAAGCGUAAAUCCAGAUGCGACAACGUCAAAUGUGUUGAGUCCUCAAUGUAUUCGUUUAGGAAGUUAUAGAGAAAAAAAUUGACGAG